rnacentral:rRNA from 1 species
UCCGCCCGCUGGCGGCGUGCUUAACACAUGCAAGUCGAACGGAAAGGCCCUGCUUUUGUGGGGUGCUCGAGUGGCGAACGGGUGAGUAACACGUGAGUAACCUGCCCUUGACUUUGGGAUAACUUCAGGAAACUGGGGCUAAUACCGGAUAGGAGCUCCUGCUGCAUGGUGGGGGUUGGAAAGUUUCGGCGGUUGGGGAUGGACUCGCGGCUUAUCAGCUUGUUGGUGGGGUAGUGGCUUACCAAGGCUUUGACGGGUAGCCGGCCUGAGAGGGUGACCGGCCACAUUGGGACUGAGAUACGGCCCAGACUCCUACGGGAGGCAGCAGUGGGGAAUAUUGCACAAUGGGCGGAAGCCUGAUGUAGCAACGCCGCGUGCGGGAUGACGGCCUUCGGGUUGUAAACCGCUUUCGCCUGUGACGAAGCGUGAGUGACGGUAAUGGGUAAAGAAGCACCGGCUAACUACGUG